UAUGGGGCGAAGCUGACGGAGCAUACCGCGUGAGGGAUGACGGCCUAUGGGUUGUAAACCUCUUUUUUCAGGGAGGAAUCAAUGACGUGUACCUGAAGAAUAAGCAUCGGCUAACUCCGUGCCAGCAGCCGCGGUAAGACGGAGGAUGCAAGUGUUAUCCGGAAUCACUGGGCGUAAAGCGUCUGUAGGUGGUCAAAUAAGUCAACUGUUAAAUCUUGAGGCUCAACCUCAAAACCGCAGUCGAAACUAUUAGACUAGAGUAUAGUAGGGGUAAAGGGAAUUUCCAGUGGAGCGGUGAAAUGCGUAAAGAUUGGAAGGAACACCGAUGGCGAAGGCACUUUACUGGGCUAUUACUAACACUCAGAGACGAAAGCUAGGGUAGCAAAUGGGAUUAGAUACCCCCCGGUAGUCAAA
rnacentral:rRNA from 1 species